rnacentral:rRNA from 1 species
GUGCCAGCAGCCGCGGUAAUACGUAGGGUGCGAGCGUUGUCCGGAUUUAUUGGGCGUAAAGAGCUCGUAGGCGGUUUGUCGCGUCGGCCGUGAAAACCUGCCGCUAACGGUGGGCGUGCGGUCGAUACGGGCAGACUUGAGUUCGGUAGGGGAGACUGGAAUUCCUGGUGUAGCGGUGAAAUGCGCAGAUAUCAGGAGGAACACCGGUGGCGAAGGCGGGUCUCUGGGCCGAUACUGACGCUGAGGAGCGAAAGCGUGGGGAGCGAACAGGAUUAGAUACCCUGGUAGUCC